GACGAACGCUGGCGGCGUGCCUAAUACAUGCAAGUAGAACGCUGAAGGAGGAGCUUGCUCUUCUGGAUGAGUUGCGAACGGGUGAGUAACGCGUAGGUAACCUGCCUGGUAGCGGGGGAUAACUAUUGGAAACGAUAGCUAAUACCGCAUAAGAGUAGAUGUUGCAUGACAUUUACUUAAAAGGUGCAAUUGCAUCACUACCAGAUGGACCUGCGUUGUAUUAGCUAGUUGGUGGGGUAACGGCUUACCAAGGCGACGAUACAUAGCCGACCUGAGAGGGUGAGCAGCCACACUGGGACUGAGACACGGCCCAGACUCCUACGGGAGGCAGCAGUAGGGAAUCUUCGGCAAUGGACGGAAGUCUGACCGAGCAACGCCGCGUGAGUGAAGAAGGUUUUCGGAUCGUAAAGCUCUGUUGUAAGAGAAGAACGAGUGUGAGAGUGGAAAGUUCACACUGUGACGGUAUCUUACCAGAAAGGGACGGCUAACUACGUG
rnacentral:rRNA from 1 species